UCACUGGGUAGCUCAGUCGGCCAGAGCAUGGUGCUGACAACACCAAGGUUGUAGGUUUGACAGCUGCAUAUUCCUGCAUUGCACUCUAUGAU